rnacentral:lncRNA from 1 species
GUUCCCCAAGAAAGACUAUCGUCUUUAAAACCCUCGCAUUCUUUAGAUGCUUUUAGUGUUCUUGGCUUCAUUGUGAACAAGGCUUCCGUAUGGAAGCCGAAAAGUCGUUUCAUUUAAGACUUUUAUUUGGUCGGUGGUUGCAUUUUAUCCAUCAUGUUUCGUCCCGACCCGACGGGCUUCCGUCGCACUCUCGAUUUCU